rnacentral:rRNA from 1 species
GACAGAGGGUGCAAGCGUUGUUCGGAAUUAUUGGGCGUAAAGGGCGCGUAGGCGGCUCUGUAAGUCAGAUGUGAAAGCCCGGGGCUCAACCCCGGGAGGCGGGUGGAUACUGUCAAGCUCGAGUCCGGAAGAGGCGAGUGGAAUUCCUGGUGUAGCGGUGAAAUGCGCAGAUAUCAGGAGGAACACCAAUGGCGAAGGCAGCUCGCUGGGACGUGACUGACGCUGAGACGCGAAAGCGUGGGGAGCAAACAGG